rnacentral:SRP_RNA from 17 species
CUAUCUUCCCGCCGCAAGGGGAGAGCUCCAGCAGCCGCAAGCGCUCCCGGUGGAGGCGGAGCUCGUGCAGCACCUUG